rnacentral:rRNA from 1 species
AUUGAACGCUGGCGGCAGGCCUAACACAUGCAAGUCGAGCGGAUGAAGGGAGCUUGCUCCUGGAUUCAGCGGCGGACGGGUGAGUAAUGCCUAGGAAUCUGCCUGGUAGUGGGGGAUAACGUCCGGAAACGGGCGCUAAUACCGCAUACGUCCUGAGGGAGAAAGUGGGGGAUCUUCGGACCUCACGCUAUCAGAUGAGCCUAGGUCGGAUUAGCUAGUUGGUGGGGUAAGGGCCUACCAAGGCGACGAUCCGUAACUGGUCUGAGAGGAUGAUCAGUCACACUGGAACUGAGACACGGUCCAGACUCCUACGGGAGGCAGCAGUGGGGAAUAUUGGACAAUGGGCGAAAGCCUGAUCCAGCCAUGCCGCGUGUGUGAAGAAGGUCUUCGGAUUGUAAAGCACUUUAAGUUGGGAGGAAGGGCAGUAAGUUAAUACCUUGCUGUUUUGACGUUACCAACAGAAUAAGCACCGGCUAACUUCGCG